AUUGAACGCUGGCGGCAGGCCUAACACCUGCAAGUCGAGCGAGCGGCGGACGGGUGAGUAAUGUAUGGGGCUCUGCCCGAUAGAGGGGGAUAACUACUGGAAACGGUGGCUAAUACCGCAUACUAUCGGAUGUACCCAUAUGGGAUGAGCUAGUAGGGGGGGUAAAGGCUCACCUAGGCGACGAUCCCUAGCUGGUCUGAGAGGAUGAUUAGCCACACUGGAACGGAGACACGGCCCAGACUCCGACGGGAGGAAGCAGUGGGGAAUAUUGCACAAUGGGCGCAAGCCUGAUGCAGCCAUGCCGCGUGUAUGAAGAAGGCCUUAGGGUUGUAAAGUACUUUCAGCGGGGAGGCGUUACCCGCAGAAGAAGCACAGGCUAACUCCGUGCCAGCAGCCGCGGUAAUUC
rnacentral:rRNA from 1 species